ACCGGAAAGGAGAUUUUGCCCGUUUUCUAUGAUGUGGAGGCGACAGAUGUUAAGCUCCGGACGGAGGUGUAUGAAAGUUCCAUGCAAAGGCACGAGAAGAAGUUUGGCUCCGAGAAGGUGAAGCAGUGGAGGGAGGCUCUGAGAGAGGUUGCUAAGAUCAGAGGAUGGGACAGAAAUGAUGCAGCGUAAGGAUUUGAAGUUCUAAACUUUCAUAGAGCCCAAGGUAAGCUUAUCAAAGUGAUUGUUCAAGAGGUACUCAGUAAGCUGAAAACAAGGCAGAGGAGUUUGCCUGAUAAUUUCCUCGGAAUGGACCAUUAACUGGAAGCUGUGAUGGACUUGUUAGACACCUACUCUAUGGAUGUACGGUCAGUUGUAAUCCACGGUAUGGAUGGGAUCGGCAAAACAACUCUUGCCAAGGCCAUAUUCAACAAAAUCUAUUCUCAGUUCCAAAGCUGUAGUUUUCUCUCAAACAUGUGAGAAUCAUUGCAACAGGGCGACAUUGUGAAAUUGCAGAAACAACUGCUGUCUGACCUUCUGCAGUCAGGAUCCAUAGAAAUCAGUGACAUUGGCGAUGGGAUAAAUAUGCUCAAAGAAAGAUGUCUUAGCAAGAAAGUUCUCAUCGUUAUUGAUGACAUUGAUAAUGAGGACCAACUCACAAACCUGGGAGGAAAGCCUGAUUGGUUUGAUUCUGGAAGUAGGAUCAUCAUUACAACU